GAUGAACGCUGGCGGCGUGCCUAAUACAUGCAAGUCGAGCGAUCGGACGAGAAGCUUGCUUCUCUUAUGUUAGUUGCGGACGGGUGAGUAACACGUGGAUAACCUACCUAUAAGACUGGGAUAACUUCUGGAAACCGUAGCUAAUACCGGAUAAUAUUUUGAACCGCAUGUUUCUUAAGUGAAAGACGGUCUUGCUGUCACUCAUAGUUGGAUCCGCGCUGCAUUAGCUAGUUGUUAAGUUAACGGCUUACCAAGGCAACGAUGAAUAGCCGACCUGAGAGGGGGAUAGGCAAAACGGGAACGGGAACACGGUCCAGACUCCUACGGGAGGAAGAAGAAGGGAAUCUUGCGAAAUGGGGGAAAGCCGGACGGAGAAAGGCGGCGGAAGGAAUAAAGGUUUAGGGAUGGAAAGACUCGGUGAAAAGGGAAGAACAGAUGUGGAAGUAACAGUGCACAUCGUGACGGUACCUAAUCAGAAAGCCACGGCUAACUACGUG
rnacentral:rRNA from 1 species